GCAUAAAACUCCCCACUGCAGGGGAGGUACCAGAGGCCUUCCCAUCUGAGCCUGAGUUUUGGGGCUUCCCAGAUCACCCUGGACUUCUACCACCACCUCAGAUCUGAACUGUGAUCACCACUUCAACCAACAAACAUGGAAAUUGCAACAACUAAGUCUCAUCACUGGAUCUAACAGAAGGUAUAUGGAUUCUAUUUCUUUUUGUGCAUCACCAGUGACUGCCUGCCUGCCUGCCUCCCUCCUGAAGCAAGCUUUAAAACUAGACAAUGGAGGACAAGUUUGCUACCUGUGAACCAGUAAUAACAAACCCAGAAACUAAUGAUACUAAUUUUAAUAGAA